ACUUUGGGGAGGCAUCUCCUGAAGUUGAAAGUCCGGCGGUUUGAGAUGGACAUGCGUUGUAUUAGCUAGUUGGUGAGGUAACGGCCCACCAAGGCGACGAUCAGUAGCCGGCCUGAGAGGGUGAACGGCCACAUUGGGACUGAGACACGGCCCAAACUCCUACGGGGAGGCAGCAGGUGGGGGAAUAUUGCACAAUGGGGGAAACCCUGAUGCAGCGACGCCGCGUGAGUGAAGAAGUAUUUCGGUAUGUAAAGCUCUAUCAGCAGGGAAGAAAAUGACGGUACCUGACUAAGAAGCCCCGGCUAACUACGUG
rnacentral:rRNA from 1 species